rnacentral:rRNA from 1 species
GACGAACGCUGGCGGCGUGCUUAACACAUGCAAGUCGAACGGAAAGGCCCUGCUUUUGUGGGGUGCUCGAGUGGCGAACGGGUGAGUAACACGUGAGUAACCUGCCCUUGACUUUGGGAUAACUUCAGGAAACUGGGGCUAAUACCGGAUAGGAGCUCCUGCUGCAUGGUGGGGGUUGGAAAGUUUCUGCGGUUGGGGAUGGACUCGCGGCUUAUCAGCUUGUUGGUGGGGUAGUGGCUUACCAAGGCUUUGACGGGUAGCCGGCCUGAGAGGGUGACCGGCCACAUUGGGACUGUGAUACGGCCCAGACUCCUACGGGAGGCAGCAGUGGGGAAUAUUGCACAAUGGGCGGAAGCCUGAUGCAGCAACGCCGCGUGCGGGAUGACGGCCUUCGGGUUGUAAACCGCUUUCGCCUGUGACGAAGCGUGAGUGACGGUAAUGGGUAAAGAAGCACCGGCUAACUACGUG